UGCGUGCAAAUGUAAUAUAUCGACGAAUAUCUUGUAAAUCACAUAUUAAAUAAAUCUGAAACUAUUUUGAUAUCAAUUCUAAGUGUAAUCCAUGUGUUCCUAUACAUUUAUUUCGGCAAUUAAGAUCCACAAUUCUUAAUAUAGAUAUAUGGCGAAAUUUUUGGAACGAAAAGAUAUUUAACCGGUGAAAAUAUCUUUCUUCGUUGGAAGAAACUUUUCAUCAGAAAUAUCAAAAUAAAAACAACGUGUAAGCUGCGGGAGUAAAUGCAUCUAUAUUCGAUUCGCAAAAUUAGCACACAAUGAGGUCCAAAUUUAUUAAGUAUUCUCCGUUCUUAGAACACCGUACAAGCAAAGAAAUUCUUCGUUUCCGUAACUAUUCUAAUGCAUCUUUUGACGCAAUUUUAACGUCCAAUAAAAACGCGAUAACAAAAUCAUAUGCAGCAAGUCCUUGAAACUUCCUGUCAUAACCACAAUGUUAAAAAAUAGAAUUCAAUGAUCCUGUAAAUUAAACAAGAAAAAGAUUGUAAAUGAAAUGUUGCGUUAACGGAACCAUAGCUGUCGUUGGCUUAAUAAAUAUACUUAAUAAAGAUGUCUAUUUCAAGCUCUGUUCGUUUCUCAAUUGAUGAUAUCUAUGAUGAUCUCACACGUGGGUAAAUUUGGAUACAAAUGAAAAAAAAUAUGCAAUGAUACGCCUACACGUCAAUAUUCCAUCUCGAGUGUUCUGU
rnacentral:misc_RNA from 1 species